rnacentral:rRNA from 4 species
GUAGGCCUCAAGUGAU